UUGAUUCACUCUGACAAUCUCUGACUUUUAAUUUUUUUUUUUUUUUUUUUUUUUUUGAGACAGAGUCUCACUCUGUUGCCUAGGCUGGAAUGCAGUGGUGCGAUCUUGGCUUACUGCAACCUCUGCCUCCCGGGUUCAAGCAAUUUUCCUGCCUCAGCCUCCUGAGUAGCUGGGAUUACAGGCACACGCCACCAUGCCUGGCUAAUUUUAGUAGAGACGGUUUCACCAUGUUGGUCUGGCUGGUCUCAAACUCCUGACCUCAUGUUUCACCUGCCUUGGCCUCCCAAAGUGCUGGGAUUACAGGCAAUCUCUGACUUUUAAUUGGCGCAUUUAGACCACUGGCAUUCAAAGUGAUUAUUGAUAUAGUUGGAUUAGUGUCUACCAUAUUUGUUACUGUUUUUUUACCUGUUGUCCCUUUUCUUUGUUUCUAUUUGUUUUUCAGUUUUCCAUUUUUAUUUUUAUUAUAAUUUUUGACUUUCAAAGUUGUCUUUAUUAUUUUUAUUUGUACACAUUUAUGUUGUUAUGUGAAAUUUUUUUAUGUGUUUAUAAUGGUGUGUGUGUACAUGACUGAAAUGUAUAUUUUUUAUUUUAUGAGUUACACCUUUGUGUAACUUAUAAUUUGUAUUUUAUAUUUUAAUUCUGUGGCCAGAAUUUUAAGAACAAAGUUUUGUCACUGAUUUUUAAAGUAAUACAUCUAAUUUUACUUUUUUUAAGUAAGAUACUGUUUAAGAUAAAUAUUCUUAAAUAUUCCUUGCAGUGUUAAGUAAAUAUUCUUUUUUUGUGUGUGUGUUUUUUUAAAGAUUUAUAGUUAACCCUUCAAUAAUGCAGGAGUAAAGAGCACUGAUCAACCAAACAGUUAAAAAUUUCCAUAUGCUAUGGUUUGGCUUUGUGUCCCCACCCAAAUAUCAUGUUAAAUUGUCAUUCCCAAUGUUGGGGAGGGAAUUGGUGUGAGGUGAUUGGAUCAUUAGGAAAGUGGGUCUAAACAUUAUGUUAUGUCAGAGUUCUUGGCUUAUAUUAAGAAGUUUAAUAAGUAAAAGGAUCACAAGACAGUAAUUAGCAUAUGAAGUUGACUUACUCCUUUCAACCAAAUUUUUUUAAGUUUCUUUGCCAAGUGUAAGAUAAAUGAAGAUAAGAACAAUCUCUAAGACUUCUUCAGUGGGCUUCUACGUGUACACUGUUACAAUUCAACUCUCCCAGGCCUCAUCUUAUUCUUAUAUGCCUACCUGUUCUAAAACUCAUAGGCAGUUAUUUUUGGGGAAUCCUGAUUACUCUGUAAUAGGGCCAAAACAUAUAGAACAUAUGCAAAAAGAAAAUAAUGGUGGUUUCCUUAUUUGACUAUUGCUCUUUUUCCUCCAAUGGCCUCUUGUUGUUAACAGUAUGCAACCAAACAAAAGGUUUUUCCUCUCAGCAAUCAAUCUUCUUAACAUCCCAGCACAGGGUGGGCAUUCAAAAGCAAUGUUUCAGAUGACUCAAAUGUUGGUAAGAGGAAGAGCAUGUUUUUUGUAAAACCAGUUUUAAUAAGUUGUGCCAGAAGUUUACUACAAUUAAAGGGGUUGUAAAAACAAUAUUUUGAUAAAGGAUAAUUUCAAGUGUUUGCUUUAUUGUGUUUAUUUGCAUAGUUUAGAUAGUCAUGUUGCCUGAUGAGCCAAAUGAAGGGAAAAUUUUAGAUAUCAAAUGUUCACUCCAAGGAAUUGUUAGUAGUCUGGAAGACAUACUUUAGCAAAUGAAAGAUGCUGAAACUAAAAAUAUAGUUAUUUUAAUAUUUUUCUUCUGCCAUAUGAUUUAAUUGCAACCAAUUGUAGCUCAUGUGCAGAUGCUUAAUUUCAUUCAAUGAUUCAAAAAUAUUUAUUGGACACCUACUAUCUGAUGAUUAAAUUAGAUAACUAAAUGUUUUUAUUAAAAAAAAGUGCUAUAACAAUGCAAGGUGAUGGUCUUCAGUUGUAACAAAUGUACCACAUUAAUGCAAGAUGCUAAUAGUGGGAACUGUGUGUGUAUCAGAGAAAGAGGUUGCAUACUAGAACUCUGUACUUUCCUCUCAAUUUUUUUUGUAUAUCUGAAACUACUCUAAAAAAGUCUCUUAAAAGAAAGCAAGGUAAUUUUGUUGUUGAUACUGAAUGUAAGGUACAGUAUCACAAUAUUAUUUAAUAAUUAUGACUGCUAGCUAAAAGAAGAUGGAAAAUGUUUAAAACACUAACCCAGAGGUUUCUGGUUCAGGUAAUAGAUUAAGUACCAUAAUUUGAAAGAAAUUCAUUGGGUCCUGAGGCAGGUUUCUGGUUUGGGUGGAUCCUGAGAAAGAAGUAGAAUAGAUCUUGGGGUCCUUCAAAAUAAUACAGAGGAAAAUUAAAAGGAUAGGGUGUUGCACUCAUGGGUACAAAAGGCUAAAGCACUUUGACUUCAGAGUAAACCCCUCUUUAUUUUGUCAAAUGGUAGCCUUGUCUGCCUGUUGGUCUGUUCCCAGGCCACCUAUCUUACAGGGAACUCUGCCUGUUGACAAGUGUCAUGCCUUUCUAUGAAGCCUACCCUCUUCUUCAAAAGGAUUGUUAGGGAAACAGGACAACCAAACUGCAGAUGCAACUCACACAGGAGGAAAAAGAAUAGAAUGGAAGAGACAGAUCAAGACGAACAGACAGAACAACCAACACCUGGAUGAAAAAGAAACAAUUUAGGUAAGAGAAGAGAAUUUAAAAAAAAUUAAAAUUCUACUUAGUGUCUUCGGGAGUAUUAAGGAAGUUGGAUCCAUAAAACAAAGAUGACUACUAAACAAAAAGAAGCAAUUAGAAGAUACAAAAGAGUUCUUGGAAAUUUAAAUAUUCAGUAUACAUGCUAAAUAUUAGAAAGAACACAGUUGAAAAAAAGAUCGGCAAUCUGAAAGAUAAAGUCACAGAGAGAUAAAUAAUAAAAUAAAUAGAUGAGAAACGUGAUGGAAAAGUUAAGGGACAUGGUAGAUUUAGUGGGUACAGCAUUCAUAGAAAUCACAUAAGGAUACACUUGAGGGA
rnacentral:lncRNA from 1 species